GUGCUGACUUUAGCAGCACAUACACUAAAAUUGGAACAAAACAAAGAUUAGCAUGGCCCCUGAACAAGGAGGACACACGAAUUCACGAAGCUGUCCGUAUUUAA
ensembl:snRNA U6 U6 spliceosomal RNA